rnacentral:rRNA from 1 species
AUGCAUGCGGGGUCCCAUGGAGUCAGCCCAUCUUUGGAUGGGUUCAUUGGUAGCCAUGAUGAAGUAAUGGACGCCCCUGUGCUUUUCUGGAUGGAUAUCUGGAAGAUGAUACUGAGGGAAAGGGGGGUGUUAGGGGGGAUGGGUGGGGUUGAGGUGGGGUGCGUCCCUGGCUCUUAUAGAACAACUAAUGUGAGCCGUUUUGGGGUAGUUUCGGUGACAUUUCAUGUUGUGAAUGUAAUCCUGGAAACUGUACAAAGAGGUUGCCUGAUAGAUGGAAAACCGUUCUUUUUUCUUCUGCACUUGCAUCUCUCAUCAUUACUUUAUCUCUCUUCAUAUUGUUUGGGAUAUCCCGAGUUUACCUCGGAUUAG